rnacentral:sRNA from 1 species
AGACAGGCGGUGUCGUUUUUCAAAACAUGAAGGAAGUCAGGGGGUUGGGAUGGUUUGGAAAACUACUACCCCUAUCCUCAAAAUCUGUGUCCUUUGGACUGGCCGUACUGAAAGUGUUGAACUUUUUUUUCUAUUCAAAUGAAAAGAUUAGCUUAUACUCAUUUCAUACUGUCAAAAAAGUGUGAGGAUGGUUUAUUCUUCAACUUCUGUAUGUAUUUUUUACAAUAAGAAAGGGUUGAAUAAAUGUCUACUGUUUUGUCCUGUUACAUGAAUAUGCAAGGUGAUGACCAUGCGCGGGUCUAAAGGGGGAGAUGAGGGCGGAAACCCCGAUCCAAAUUUUGAAAAUUAUAAAAUUUGUUAGAUAACAUUGUAAUCCAAAUUAUAGGAAAUAAAGCCUCGUCCACCCCCUCCCCAUCUCCACUGGCAAACAUUAUCUUCUUGUUGACCCCUCCUUCUCCCCAGAAAAAAUUUGGAUCCGCGCAUGUAAACAAUCAUUAAAAAAUUCUUCAAAGAGAUCAGAUCCGAUAGAAAUUUCAUGAAAAUCUAUCCUAUCCAUUAUUUUAUCUUUUACUGAAGUCACGUUUUCUUAAUCGCAUUCGUACGUCAUGUUUCGUAACAUAGAUAAGUUAUUUUUGUUAUCAUCUUUUUUAUUUUGAACCCAACAACAAUUUUACACUGUAAUAGGAAACCAAUGCAAUUUUUAACAACGCACUACAUACCUUAAUUUGUGCCCUGGUUUCAUUAUUAUGUGGACCAAAGUACGGUCUAUUUCAAUACGACGCAAAAAACCUCUUUUUGUGGAAAGGUAAGGAUUAAGUCUUUUUGAGGGGUUUGUAUUUUAGCUACCUGAUGGGUACAUCGGUAUCAUUCCACUUAUUCUAAGUUUACAUAUGCAUAGUUCAAAUCGAAAAAAUAUAAUAUAUCGACACAAUUAGGGCGGAACCGAUUUGAAUUUUAAGAGGGCUGGAUGUAAGUGACAAGUGUCAAGGCUAUAUUCAUCUCCUUAAAAAAAGGUUCUGUACAGAGAUAAAAAAAAAAAAAAAAGGUACAUGUAUUCAAUUAUAUUUGGAAAGAUAAAAUAUUUAGAGAUUUUUUCUUUACUGAAUCAUAAUUCAUAGAUUAAAAACAUAUCAAAAGAGUUAAGGUUGACGUGGUUGUUGAUUAGUUAACCACCCACCCAACCUCUUUCAAUGGCAUUCAUCCAAUGUCAUAGCUGCCUUUUACUAAAAAAAAUUAAAACAAAGUCGUAAAUUUAUAUUUUAGUCAAAUGAAAUUGCCUUCGAGGCAAAAUUUUACACAGAACAUUUUUAUCAAUCUAUUACCACAAUAUGAGAAUAUUUUACUGAUAUUAUGUCUAAGCAAUUGGUUACUAAUGAUAUAUAAGUUAGCAUUUUUGAAUUUGGUCGUAAGUCAUAAGCACUUUUGUAAGAAGCAUUUUUGAAUUUGGUCGUAAGUCAUAAGCUCUUUUUUAAGAAGAUGUCAAUUUUUCAACAAUUUUUUUUAAAUAUUUUAUAUUGGUGGUCUUUUAAAAUUCAGACAUAUUAAAUGUGCAUUUCGUUUAUUUGACUUUCUAACGAUUAGUUUUCUACUGUAAUAUAUUGUUAUCAGAACUGUUAAAGUCUACCUCUCUUAUCUUAAGAUGACGUCAUAAUCAUAAUCCCUUACACCUGCCCGCCAAACAACACUAAAAUAGUGGAACACUUUGUUUAAUGUAAAUCAACGAACACAGAUGCAUUCUAAAUGUAAGUAUUAAGCAAAAACAGGUUCCUAAACUUACAGGAACUUUAUUCGGCAAGAAAAAAGGUGUGUUAUUCAUGGUUCAUUAAGUCGACCUGGGAAAUACAUGUAUUGAUAACCUAAUCAUUUUAAAUCAGAUAUGCAUGUAUUUAUAAAAACUGAAACGGUUUCACAAAGAGAUAUUAUGUUUCUGAAGACGCCCAACGAAAAUAUUUACCUUUCGGCUUUGCAUAACUUUUGUCGAAAGUUUAAUACUACGAUUAUAUUAUCAUUACCUGUGUAAAAUGGAGGGCUUAUUUUCCAGGUUUAUUGGCCAUAUACCUGGCGUUGACAAUGAUUCAAGUGGCACAUGCUGCCUCCUUAGAAGGGACACGUGAUAUACGAGGUCAAAGGGGACUUGAAACCUGGUGCAGGACCCAGGAAUGCAUCCAGGAAAUGCUGAAAUGGGAACUGCAGAUGUCAACUCAGAAUAUCGGGAACAUCUUUGGGAAGUUUGGAGGACGAAAAUAAAUUCCUGUCUGUCUCAUUAAUUUGUAAGAUCUGCAUCCUAUAGUAAGGCUACAGAUAUACAAUCAGUUUAGCUUGGACCCCAUUCACUGU